rnacentral:tRNA from 1 species
GUGUGUGGCUCAGUGGUAGAGUGCUUGCCUAGCACAUGUGGGGCACUGGGUUCGAUCCCCAGCACCACA